rnacentral:rRNA from 1 species
AUGUGUAGUAUAAAUAGUUUAACUUUGAAACUGCGAAUGGCUCAUUAUAUCAGUUAUAGUUUAUUUGAAGAAGAAUACUAAUUGGAUAACCGUAGUAAUUCUAGAGCUAAUACAUGUAUAAAGUCUUGUAGACUGCAUUUAUUAGAAUGAAAACCAUAGGUUUCGGCCUAUUCGUGAGUAAUAAUAACUAAUCAUAUCGUAUGCUUACGUAACGAUGUGUCUUUCAAGUUUCUGCCCUAUCAGCUUUCGAUGGUAGUGUAUUGGACUACCAUGGCAGUAACGGGUAACGAAGAAUUUGGGUUCGAUUUCGGAGAGGGAGCCUGAGAGAUGGCUACCACAUCCAAGGAAGGCAGCAGGCUCGUAAAUUACCCAAUCCUGACACAGGGAGGUAGUGACAAUAAAUCACAAUGCGGAACAAUGUUUUGCAAUUGGAUUGAGAACAACGUACAAACCUUAUCGAUAAACAAUUGGAGGGCAAGUCUGGUGCCAGCAGCCGCGGUAAUUCCAGCUCCAAUAGCGUAUAUUAA